rnacentral:lncRNA from 1 species
CUUAAUAGUACUUGAUUAGUGUUCAAUGAAUAAGCAUCUUUUUAUUUUAUAAUAAUUUGUAGGUCUCAGUGGAUGGUUCCUGUUUUGCCGAAAGGGGAAUUAGAAGUACUUUUAGAAGCUUCUAUUGAUCUUAGUAAAAAAGGUCUUGAUGUUAAAAGUGAAGCAUGCCAGCGUUUUUUUAGAGAUGGCCUAACAGUAUCUUUCACUAAAAUCCUUUUGGAUGAGGGAGUGAACAGAUGGAAGUUUGAGAUUCAUAGGCAUGUUAUUAAUAAUACUCAUCGCCUAGUGGAGCUUUGUGUGGCCAAAUUGUCCCAGGACUGGUUUCCACUUCUCGAACUGCUUGCCAUGGCCUUAAAUCCUCAGUGCAGAUUUCAUAUCUACAAUAGUACACGUCCAUGUGAAUUGAUUUCCUCAAGUAUUCAGUUACCAGAAGAUGAACUCUUUGCCUGUUCUCCAGAUCCUCAAUCACCAAAGGGUUGGCUGGUGGAUCUCAUUAAUAGAUUUGGCAUAUUAAAUGGCUUCCAGAUUUUUCAUGAUCGUUUUAUUAAUGGGUCAGGAUUAAACAUUCAAAUAAUUGCAGCUCUUAUUAAACCAUUUGGCCAAUGCUAUGAGUUUCUCACUCAACAUACAUUGAAAAAAUAUUUCAUUCCAGUGAUAGAAAUUGUUCCCCAGUUAUUAGAAAAGUUAAGUGAUGAAGAAUUUAAAAAAGAAGCAAAGAAUGAAGCCAAAAAUGAUGCCCUUUCAGAGAUUAUUACUUCUCUGAAGAAUUUAGCUUCAAGGAUUUCAGGACGAGAAGAAACUAAAAAAACUUUAGAAAUGUUUAGAUUACAAAUGAUACUCAGAUUAUUACAGAUUUCUUCCUUUAAUGGGAAGAUGAAUGCAUUGAAUGAAAUAAAUAAGGUAAUAUCUAGUAUAUCUUAUACUCACCAGCAUGGUAACUGUGAAGAAGAAGAGUGGCUGACAGCUGAACAAAUGACAGAAUGGAUACAGCAAAAGAGUAUAUUAUCUAUAGUCUUAAAAGAUAGUCUUCAUCAACCACAGUAUGUGGAAAAGCUAGAGAAGAUUCUUCAAUUUGUGAUUAAAGAAGAAGCUCUUACAUUACAGGAUCUUGAUAAUAUCUGGGCAGCACAGGCAGGGAAACAUGAAGCCAUUGUGAAAAAUGUACAUGGCCUACUAGCAAAGUUGGCGUGGAAUUUUUCUCCUGAGCAACUUGAUCAUCUCUUUGAUUGCUUUAAGGUAAUUGUUCAAAUAAUGAAAUAUGACACUUCCCUAUAAGUGAAAAUCUUAAAUAGGUCUGUUUUGCUUUUAGCCAGCCGCA